rnacentral:rRNA from 1 species
UCCUGGCUCAGGAUUAAUGCUGGUGGUAUGCAUAACACAUGCAAGUCGAACGAAGAGGGUUUACUCUCUUAGUGGCGAACGGGCGAGUAACACAUAUUUAACUUACCUGCACGAGGAGAAUAGCAACUCGAAAGAGUUAUUAAUACUCCAUAGGUUUGAGACUCAAAUUAAAGGGAGCGUUCUGGGAAACUAGAGCUUCGCGAGCAGAGAGGAGUAUGUCCUAUUAGGUUGUUGGUGGGGUAAUUGCCUACCAAGCCGAUGAUGGGUAGCUGGACUGAGAGGUCGACCAGCCGCAAUGGGAUUGAAAUACGGCCCAUAUUCCUACGGGAAGCAGCAGUGAGGAAUUUUUCACAAUGGACGAAAGUCUGAUGGAGCAAUACCAUGUGAACGAUGAAGGUCUUCUGAUUGUAAAGUUCUUUUAUUUAGGAAAAAAAAGCUUGAUAGGAAAUGAUUAAGCCUUGAUUGUACUAAAUGAAUAAGUGACAGCUAACUAUGUGCCAGCAGCUGCGGUAAAACAUAGGUCACGAGCAUUAUCCGGAUUUAUUGGGCGUAAAGGAAGCGUAGGCGGACAAAUUGAUCUAUUGUUAAAGGCACUUGCUCAACGAGUUGUUUGUGAUAGAUAUCGUUUGUCUAGAAUUAGUUAGGAGAUACUGGAAUUCAAUGUGUAGCGGUGGAAUGCGUAGAUAUAUUGAGGAACACCAGAGGCUAAGGCGAGUAUCUAGGACAUAAUUGACGCUGAGGCUUGAAAGCGUGGGGAGCAAAUGGGAUUAGAUACCCCAGUAGUCCACGCCGUAAACGAUGGGUAUUAGGUAUUUGGUCUAGGACUGAUUGCUGUAGCUAACGCGUUAAAUACCCCGCCUGGGUAGUAUAUAUGCAAAUAUGAAACUCAAAGAAAUUGACGGGGACCUGAACAAGUGGUGGAGCAUGUUG